GGGCUUGUGGUCUAGCGGUAUGACAUCUUCUUAGCACCUGAGUAACCUCACGGGCGCUCAUGUUAAGAUGGAGAAGGUUCCCGGUUCGACUCCGGGCUAGUCCA